rnacentral:lncRNA from 1 species
AUACAUCAAAUCCAAACGUCACAAAGAUGAAAGAAAAACUACUAAAAUUAAAACUAAAUCGAAAUACAGAAGUAGAAGUCAUGUUUUACACUUUUUGGAUCUUCAAAGAAAGCUUCAAAGCACGUCAAGAGUAGAACACGGAAGAGAUGAAUUGCCAAGCUUCGGAAAAGUCCUAAUCUUGGCAGAAACUAAAGCUAAAACUAGGAUAUAUGGGAGGAACAAAGCUACGGUUAUGGAGAGCAGACGAACGGCAAUUUCUGACUUUUGGUGCGUAAGAAGUGAUGCCUUUGCCGUCUCCAACUCCUCCUAUAUGUAUGAGCAGCUGCUAUUAGGGUUAGAGAACCCUAAUUUUCGUCUAUGGGCUUGCCUAUGUGGUAUGGGCAUUGAAAUUAAACUUUCGGUCCAAUUCAGAAAUUCGGGCAGACUGACCUUUGGCCACUCAAAUGAUCAUAACUUCUUCUCCAAAAUAGCUAUUGAUGAUCCGCGAAAAGUUCUGGAAACUAGACUCUUCUAGCUUUCCGUUGAUAUAAAGUUCAUCUCAUGGAUCAUUGUGAGCUGAUCACAAUCCUCUGUCGAAGUUGACUGCCAAUUCCUGGCAUAUUUCUGAUUUCUUUCCUUGUGCCAUAUGGAUUCCUUUUCCUUCAAGAUCUCUCAUCUUUUGCUUCUUUUGUGCUCCUCGGCUUCAUUUGCGACCUAAAAACACAAACUAAGUUAAAAUGAAUAUUGUUAAAGGAAUUACAUAGCUAAAUAGGGUCGAAAAUACAUUAAGAUGCACCUAUCAAAUUCCCCCACACUUAGGUUUUUCUAGUCCCUUAGCAAAAUCAAACAAAAAACUCAAUACACACAAACCAGAAAUUACACAACUACAAAACUCAACAAACAAACAAACAACUCUAUUGCCCAUAACAUAUUGUCUCAGAAUCUCCAAUCUCUUGGCAUCAAAAUUAGCACUCAAUCAAGAAUCAUUCCAUGAAGUUUCAGAAGCUAAUUGCCAUGCAUAGAUC